rnacentral:piRNA from 1 species
UGGCCAAGGAGAAGCACCCUCUGCACAGAA